UACGAAGGGGGCUAGCGUUGUUCGGAAUCACUGGGCGUAAAGCGCACGCAGGCGGAUCGUUAAGUCAGGGGUGAAAUGCCGAGGCUCAACCUCGGAACUGCCUUUGAUACUGGCGAUCUUAGAGUCCGGGAGAGGUGAGUGGAACUCUGAGUGUAGAGGUGAAAUUCGUAGAUAUUCGGAAGAACACCAGUGGCGAAGGCGGCUCACUGGCCCGGUACUGACGCUCAGGUGCGAAAGCGUGGGGAGCAAACAGG
rnacentral:rRNA from 1 species